rnacentral:rRNA from 1 species
AUUGAACGCUGGCGGCAGGCCUAACACAUGCAAGUCGAACGAGUGGCGGACGGGUGUGUAAUGUCUGGGAAACUGCCCGAUGGAGGGGGAUAACUACUGGAAACGGUAGCUAAUACCGCAUACCAUCGGAUGUGCCCAGAUGGGAUUAGCUAGUAGGUGGGGUAACGGCUCACCUAGGCGACGAUCCCUAGCUGGUCUGAGAGGAUGACAAGGCACACUGGAACUGGGACACGGUCCAGACUCAUACGGGAGGCAGCAGUGGAGAAUAUUGCACAAUGGGCGCAAGCCUGAUGCAGCCAUGCCGCGUGGAUGAAGGGGGCGUUCGGGUUGUAAAGUAGUUUAAGCGAGGAGGCGUUAAUCGCAGAAGAAGCACCGGCUAACUACGUGCCAGCAGCCGCGGUAAUAC